GCAGCCUCUGCAACCUCUAACCUACUGCCUUUCCUUUAUCCAUCAAGCAACAAGGACUUAUCAUGCCCUCGGUUCCAGGGCCUCCACUAUGUUAAAAAGGCAUUAACUGAGUCAGGGAUCAUACCAAGGAUCUAAAGAAACAAAACACAUAGAUCCUGCGAGUGAGGAACUCACAGGCUGAUGAGAGAAAUACCUGCAUGAACAAAUGUUCCUACUACAUCACAACUUGGCUGCCCUCCAGCUCCAUUCAGCACUGGCUACACAACAUCCUGUCAGGUCUGAGUACGGUAAAGGAGGGGCCCUGAGACCAGUCUGGGAGCCAGUUUUCUUCACAGCUCUGCCUCUGAAGAGCAGCAAGUUCUUGGGCGAGUCGCUUAAUGCGAAAGGCUCCAUUU